AGUAAAUGUGGAGCCGUAGCGAAAGCGAGUCUGAAUAGGGCGUUUAGUAUUUGGUCGUAGACCCGAAACCAGGUGAUCUACCCUUGGUCAGGUUGAAGUUCAGGUAACACUGAAUGGAGGACCGAACCGACUUACGUUGAAAAGUGAGCGGAUGAACUGAGGGUAGCGGAGAAAUUCCAAUCGAACCUGGAGAUAGCUGGUUCUCUCCGAAAUAGCUUUAGGGCUAGCCUCAAGUGAUGAUUAUUGGAGGUAGAGCACUGUUUGGACGAGGGGCCCCUCUCGGGUUACCGAAUUCAGACAAACUCCGAAUGCCAAUUAAUUUAACUUGGGAGUCAGAACAUGGGUGAUAAGGUCCGUGUUCGAAAGGGAAACAGCCCAGACCACCAGCUAAGGUCCCAAAAUAUAUGUUAAGUGGAAAAGGAUGUGGCGUUGCCCAGACAACUAGGAUGUUGGCUUAGAAGCAGCCAUCAUUUAAAGAGUGCGUAAUAGCUCACUAGUCGAGUGACACUGCGCCGAAAAUGUACCGGGGCUAAACAUAUUACCGAAGCU
rnacentral:rRNA from 1 species